rnacentral:rRNA from 1 species
UGGGGAAUAUCGCACAAUGGGCGCAAGCCUGAUGCAGCCAUGCCGCGUGUAUGAAGAAGGCCUUCGGGUUGUAAAGUACUUUCAGCGGGGAGGAAGGGAGUAAAGUUAAUACCUUUGCUCAUUGACGUUACCCGCAGAAGAAGCACCGGCUAACUCCGUGCCAGCAGCCGCGGUAAUACGGAGGGUGCAAGCGUUAAUCGGAAUUACUGGGCGUAAAGCGCACGCAGGCGGUUUGUUAAGUCAGAUGUGAAAUCCCCGGGCUCAACCUGGGAACUGCAUCUGAUACUGGCAAGCUUGAGUCUCGUAGAGGGGGGUAGAAUUCCAGGUGUAGCGGUGAAAUGCGUAGAGAUCUGGAGGAAUACCGGUGGCGAAGGCGGCCCCCUGGACGAAGACUGACGCUCAGGUGCGAAAGCGUGGGGAGCAAACAGG